rnacentral:rRNA from 1 species
CCUACGGGUGGCAGCAGUGAGGAAUAUUGGUCAAUGGGCGCGAGCCUGAACCAGCCAAGUCGCGUGAGGGAUGACGGCCCUACGGGUUGUAAACCUCUUUUGCCGGGGGGCAACGGGCGCCACGUGUGGCGCCACUGAGAGUCCCCGGAGAAAAAGCAUCGGCUAACUCCGUGCCAGCAGCCGCGGUAAUACGGGGGAUGCGAGCGUUACCCGUAUGUAUUGGGUUUAGGGGGUGCGUAGGCGGAGCGUUAAGUCAGUGGUAAAAUUGAGGGGCUCAACCCCUUCCCGCCAUUGAAACUGGCGUUCUUGAGUGGAAGAGAAGUAUGCGGAAUGCGUGGUGUAGCGGUGAAAUGCAUAGAUAUCACGCAGAACCCCGAUUGCGAAGGCAGCAUGCCGGCUUCCGACUGACGCUGAUGCACGAAAGCGUGGGGAUCGAACAGGAUUAGAUACCCUGGUAGUC